rnacentral:tRNA from 1 species
GGAGAGAUGUCCGAGUGGUUGAAGGAGCACGACUGGAAAUCGUGUAGGGGGCCAAAAGCUCUCUCGAGGGUUCGAACCCCUCUCUCUCCG